rnacentral:rRNA from 1 species
GACGAACGCUGGCGGCGUGCUUAACACAUGCAAGUCGUACGGUAAGGCCCUUUCGGGGGUACACGAGUGGCGAACGGGUGAGUAACACGUGAGUAACCUGCCCACAACUUUGGGAUAACGCUAGGAAACUGGUGCUAAUACUGGAUAUGUGCUCCUGCUGCAUGGUGGGGGUUUGAAAGCUCCGGCGGUUGUGGAUGGACUCGCGGCCUAUCAGCUUGUUGGUGGGGCAGUGGCCUACCAAGGCGGCGACGGGUAGCCGGCCUGAGAGGGUGACCGGCCACAUUGAGACUGGGAUACGGCCCAGACUCCUACGGGAGGCAGCAGUGGGGAAUAUUGCACAAUGGGCGCAAGCCUGAUGCAGCAACGCCGCGUGCGGGAUGACGGCCUUCGGGUUGUAAACCGCUUUCAGCAGGGACGAAGCUUUUUGUGACGGUACCUGCAGAAGAAGCACCGGCUAACUACGUG